UAGACCUUAGCCAGGACCUCUGCCUCGUA
rnacentral:sRNA from 1 species